rnacentral:rRNA from 1 species
AUGACCGCAGUCAAGCAAAACUAUGGCGAGAAAGUCCUGGUCCAGUUUGAGGACUUUGCCAACCACAAUGCAUUCAAUUUGCUCGCAAAGUACAACAACAGCCAUCUUGUCAACAAUGAUAUCCAGGUGCUUCAUUCAUUCCAUACUAUUCCUCCCCAAGUCACCACAUGGUGA